UACGAAGGUGGCAAGCGUUACUCGGAAUUACUAGGCGUAAAGCGCAGGUAGGCGGUUCGAUAAGUCUUUUGUGAAAGCUCCCGGCUUAAACUGGGAGAGGUCAAAGGAUACUAUUGGGCUAGAGUGUGGUAGAGGAUGCUGGAAUUCCCGGUGUAGCGGUGAAAUGCGUAGAUAUCGAGAGGAACACCUGCGGCGAAGGCGGGUAGCUGGGCCGACACUGACGCUGAGGCGCGAAAGCCAGGGGAGCGAACGGG
rnacentral:rRNA from 1 species